GUCCCAAGCUUGUUGAGAAGUUGUCAACGGUGUGUUGACAAAUUGCUACAUAGUUUGGCUUGUUGACAAAUUGUUACAAGGUUGUUGACUGGACAGACAUGUUACAAGUUGUUCUAAGAACUUGUUAUCGUCCUGCAAUCCAACAAUUUGUUAACAAGUUGUAAGCGACAAGCUUCAGGGAACUUGAUAAAAUAACGACAUUGUUACAACUUGUCAAGCUUGCUACAAGCCUUUUGGGAUAUUUUUACGAAAAUGUGAGAUUUUACGUGGUAUAAAUUUAGGUGGUAAAUAUACAUUCGGUG